ensembl:lncRNA
AGGGAUGGAGAAACCCAGAACCAUCAGCUGUUGCCAUGACCAAGCAGCUGUGCCUAAAUGAGGCAGAUCCCCAUCGAAUGAGGGUUUGCUAUCUUUCCUGCUCUUAGCUGAAGCUCCAUGUGGUCCGAUAAAUGAGACAUUCUUCAGAGAUUCAAGAUGUUCUUCAGCAUUAUUAAUUAUAACCAACAGAUGGCAGUCCCUAGCCAAGUACAAAAUACAUUCCCAGCAUCUAAGUGAAGUCAUCUGGAGACCAACUCAAUCAUUCUCAAAGACCAAAACAAUGAAACUAGUUGUGAGACUGUCCGUGGUUUUCUGUUUUUAUAUUUGUUUCCUUUUGCAGUCCCUGCUCCAGAGUGAAAUCUGCCUUUUCAUGGAGUGGCUUAGGUUAGAGGAGACCGUAAGGAUCAUUGAGUUUCAACCUCCCUGCUGUCAGCAGUCUGCCAACCACUAGAUCAGGCUGUUCAGGAUCUUAUCCUUUUCUUCGUCUUCCAAACUUGAAUUGCAGCCCCAUUGUAACUGCACAAACACAGCCCACGAGUGAUUGGUCUUUCCUCCAGGUUUACUAAAAGUCUGGUUCUGGCCUGUAAUUCUGUAGAUAAUAUGGAUAGAAAUCUAAAAAUCUCCAUUGCUCUUUUUAUAGGAGUCUAUUUAAUUUAAACAAAUUAAAAGAAAAUGAAAUGGUUUAGUGCAGACAAAUAAGGUUCAUUUGUAUGGGAAACAGGCAAUGUAAACCCAUGCCUGCAUGGCACAUGCUUCAGUAUUGCCUUCUGGUGUGCAAUUUUAGCAACCACUCACCUUUUGCUUUAGAAAACCCUUUUAAAGGAAAGGACAUUCAUUUAUUACAUAUAUAUAUAAUAAUGUAUAUAAUUUAUUAUAUAAUAAUAGUGUAUAUAAUUAAGUUGUUAUAAGACCGGUGUCAAACUUGAGUACAGUCUUUUCCCUACAUUUCUUUAUCAUUCUGGAGUCUUUCUCUGGGAUCAAGUUGUUCUCUUAGGAGUGAAUCUAAAGUUUCAACCUAAGCUACCGUUAGGAUGACUUAGUGGCUUUUAGAAAAACUAGUGCUGAUUUGGGAAGAACUAGUAAUAGACCUGACUUUAAAAAAUGCUAAUAAAAAAUAGGGUCCAGGAACUUUGUGUUUCUAGUUUUUGCUCUAAAGAUGCUUUGUUCUUGUUUAUGUACAAUGAAAGAACUGUGACAGGCUUCAAUUUUCCAAAGGUUUUGAGAACUAACAUGAUUUGCAGUCAUUUCUACUCCAUAUGCAAAAUGCAGCACAUAGGCUAAGCAGACGUUUUGUGUCAAACCACAAGAGGGAGUUAAAAGAUGCAGUUAUUCAUAAUAUGUCCUAAAGAUGCUAUUGGCCAGUGAUGGAUAAGACUUUAAAAUCUGAGAAUAGGAAUUUUCUUGCCUUUUAAUUCAGGAGGGAG